rnacentral:rRNA from 1 species
CCUGACCUGCAUUCGAUACGGUCGAGCUAGAGUGUGGUAGGGGAGACUGGAAUUCCUGGUGUAGCGGUGGAAUGCGCAGAUAUCAGGAGGAACACCGAUGGCGAAGGCAGGUCUCUGGGCCAUUACUGACACUGAGGAGCGAAAGCGUGGGGAGCGAACAGGAUUAGAUACCCUGGUAGUCCACGCCGUAAACGGUGGGCGCUAGUUGUGCGAACCUUCCACGGUUUGUGCGACGCAGCUAACGCAUUAAGCGCCCCGCCUGGGGAGUACGAUCGCAAGAUUAAAACUCAAAGGAAUUGACGGGGCCCCGCACAAGCAGCGGAGCAUGCGGCUUAAUUCGACGCAACGCGAAGAACCUUACCAAGGCUUGACAUAUACAGGAAUACGGCAGAGAUGUCGUAGCCGCAAGGUCUGUAUACAGGUGGUGCAUGGUUGUCGUCAGCUCGUGUCGUGAGAUGUUGGGUUAAGUCCCGCAACGAGCGCAACCCUCGUUCUGUGUUGCCAGCAUUUAGUUGGGGACUCACAGGAGACUGCCGGGGUUAACUCGGAGGAAGGUGGGGAUGACGUCAAAUCAUCAUGCCCCUUAUGUCUUGGGCUGCACGCAUGCUACAAUGGCUGGUACAAACGGCUGCAAUACCGCAAGGUGGAGCGAAUCCGAGAAAGCCAGUCUCAGUUCGGAUUGGGGUCUGCAACUCGACCCCAUGAAGUCGGAGUUGCUAGUAAUCGUAGAUCAGCAACGCUACGGUGAAUACGUUCCCGGGGCUUGUACACACCGCCCGUCACGUCACGAAAGUCGGUAACACCCAAAGUCAGUGGCCCAACCGUAAG